GACGAACGCUGGCGGCGUGCCUAAUACAUGCAAGUAGGACGCAGUUGCGAACGGGUUAGUAACGCGUAGGUAACUACCUAUUAGAGGGGGAUAACUAUUGGAAACGAUAGCUAAUACCGCAUACUAGUAGAUGGACCUGCGUUGUAUUAGCUAGUAGGUAGGGUAAUGGCCUACCUCGGCAACGAUACAUAGCCGACCUGGGAGGGUGUACGGCCACCACGGGACUGGGGCACGGGCCAAACUCCUACGGGAGGCAUCAGUAGGGAAACUUCGGCAAUGGGGGGAACCCUGGCCGAGCAACGCCGCGGGAGUGAAGAAGGUUUUCGGAUCGUAAAGCUCUGUUGUUAAGGAAGCGGUACUUAACCAGAAAGGGACGGCUAACUACGUGCCAGCCGCCGCGGUAAUAC
rnacentral:rRNA from 1 species